rnacentral:rRNA from 1 species
CCUGAGUAACCUGCCUUUAGUGGGGGACAACAGUUGGAAACGACUGCUAAUACCGCAUAAUGUAUACGGAUGGCAUCGUCUGUAUACCAAAGCUUUAGUGCUGAAAGAUGGACUCGCGUCUGAUUAGAUAGUAGGCGGGGUAACGGCCCACCUAGUCGACGAUCAGUAGCCGGUCUGAGAGGAUGAACGGCCACAUUGGGACUGAGAUACGGCCCAGACUCCUACGGGAGGCAGCAGUGGGGAAUAUUGGGCAAUGGGCGAAAGCCUGACCCAGCAACGCCGCGUGAAGGAAGAAGGCUUUCGGGUUGUAAACUUCUUUUACCAGGGACGAAGGACGUGACGGUACCUGGAGAAAAAGCAGCGGCUAACUACGUGCCAGCAGCCGCGGUAAUACGUAGGUUGCAAGCGUUGUCCGGAAUUACUGGGUGUAAAGGGCGUGUAGGCGGAGGAGCAAGUCAGAUGUGAAAUACCGGGGCUCAACCCCGGAACGGCAUUUGAAACUGUUUCCCUUGAGUAUCGGAGAGGCAAGCGGAAUUCCUAGUGUAGCGGUGAAAUGCGUAGAUAUUAGGAGGAACACCAGUGGCGAAGGCGGCUUGCUGGACGACAACUGACGCUGAGGCGCGAAAGCGUGGGGAGCAAACAGGAUUAGAUACCCUGGUAGUCCACGCUGUAAACGAUGAAUACUAGGUGUGGGGGGACUGACCCCCUCCGUCCCGGAGUUAACACAAUAAGUACUCCACCUGGGGAGUACGA